UACGGAGGGUGCGAGCGUUAUCCGGCAUCACUGGGUUUAAAGGGUGCGUAGGCGGCUAAAUAAGUCAGAGGUGAAAGCUUGCAGCUUAACUGCGAAAUUGCCUUUGAUACUGUAUAGCUUGAAAGGAGCUGAGGUCAGCAGAAUGUGGCAUGUAGCGGUGAAAUGCAUAGAUAUGCCAUAGAAUACCAAUUGCGAAGGCAGCUGGCUGGGCUUACUUUGACGCUGAGGCACGACAGCGUGGGGAUCGAAUAGG
rnacentral:rRNA from 1 species